UCCGACCUCAGAUCGGACGAGAUUACCCGCUGAAUUUAAGCAUAUAACUAAGCGGAGGAAAAGAAACUAACAAGGAUUUCCCCAGUAACGGCGAGUGAAGCGGAAAAAGCCCAGCACCGAAUCCCUCAGUGUCAUGCUGACGGGAACUGUGGUGUGUGGGGCGCCACCAGUCGCAUCAGCGGGCGCCGAAGUCCUCCUGAUCGAGGCUUCACCCAGAGCGGGUGUAAGGCCUUUGCCGGUGCCUCGCUGUGCGGCCGCGAGCGCCCUAGGAGUCGGGUUGUUUGGGAAUGCAGCCCAAAGCGGGUGGUAAACUCCAUCU
rnacentral:rRNA from 2 species